rnacentral:rRNA from 1 species
UACGAAGGGGGCUAGCGUUGUUCGGAUUUACUGGGCGUAAAGCGCACGUAGGCGGAUCUUUAAGUCAGAGGUGAAAUCCCGGAGCUCAACUUCGGAACUGCCUUUGAUACUGGGGAUCUCGAGUUCGGGAGAGGUGAGUGGAACUGCGAGUGUAGAGGUGAAAUUCGUAGAUAUUCGCAAGAACACCAGUGGCGAAGGCGGCUCACUGGCCCGAUACUGACGCUGAGGUGCGAAGGCGUGGGGA